rnacentral:miRNA from 1 species
ACUGGGUUGGCCAAAAGUUCAUUCAGGUUUUCUGUAAGAUGUGAAGGAGAAACCUGAAUGAACUUUUUGACCAAGCCAAU